rnacentral:rRNA from 1 species
GACGAACGCUGGCGGCGUGCUUAACACAUGCGAGCCGAACGGUGAAGCGCUUGCCUUUUUGGUGGGUGUGGAUGAGUGGCGAACGGGUGAGUAACACGUGAGUAACCUGCCCUCUUCUUCUGGAUAACCUCAUGAAAGUGGGGCUAAUACGGGGUAUUCCGGGUCUGUCGCAUGGCGGGUUUGGGAAAGAUUGCGCCUUUGGGUGUUUUCGGUGGGGGAUGGGCUCGCGGCCUAUCAGCUUGUUGGUGGGGUGAUGGCCUACCAAGGCGGUGACGGGUAGCCGGCCUGAGAGGGUGGACGGCCACACUGGGACUGAGACACGGCCCAGACUCCUGCGGGAGGCAGCAGUGGGGAAUAUUGCACAAUGGGCGCAAGCCUGAUGCAGCGACGCCGCGUGAGGGAUGGAGGCCUUCGGGUUGUGAACCUCUUUCGCCAGUGAAGCAGGCCUGCUCCUGUGUGGGUGGGUUGACGGUAGCUGGAUAAGAAGCGCCGGCUAACUACGUG